rnacentral:lncRNA from 1 species
CUUCCACAGAGUCCCACCUUCUGACAGGCCUGGAAAUCCUCCUCUGCCUGGAGUGAUCCUAAUCAUAUUCCUAUUGAAGCUCUUAUGAACAUUGAAGUAAAACCUCUGAGGAGAAUUAAGUUAAACAGAUCUGUGAGGAAGAGGCAUCAUUGAGUCAACAUCAAAGAUUUGUAAAAAGAUCAACUGAAGAAACAAAGCCAGACUUGGAAAAAGAUCAGGGCAAUGUUUCCUCCAUCACUGCAGAGCAGCCCUCAUCCAGCCCAGUCACUAGUCUCUCA